CCCUUAGAUGUCCGGGGCCGCACGCGCGCUACACUGAAGGGAUCAGCGUGGCUUUCUCCCUGACCCGAAAGGGUUGGGAAACCCGUUGAAUCUCCUUCGUGAUAGGGAUUGGGGCUUGAAAUUGUUCCCCAUGAACGAGGAAUUCCCAGUAAGCGCGAGUCAUAAGCUCGCGUUGAUUACGUCCCUGCCCUUUGUACACACCGCCCGUCGCUACUACCGAUUGAACGGUUUAGUGAGGGCCUCGGAUUGGUCUCGGCCCGCUCUUUACCGGGCGGCGCCGUUGGUCGAGAAGACGCUCGAACUUGAUCGUUUAGAGGAAGUAAAAGUCGUAACA
rnacentral:rRNA from 1 species